GNCAUNCCGANNGCCUACACAUGCAAGUCGAGGGGCAGCACAUGAAGUAGCAAUACGGAUGGUGGCGACCGGCGCACGGGUGAGUAACGCGUAUGCAAUCUGCCUACAACAAGGGAAUAACCCGUUGAAAAACGGACUAAUACCCUAUAAUACAGGGGUCCCGCAUGGGAAUAUUUGUUAAAGAUUUAUCGGUUGUAGAUGAGCAUGCGUUCCAUUAGCUAGUUGGUGAGGUAACGGCCCACCAAGGCAACGAUGGAUAGGGGAACUGAGAGGUUUAUCCCCCACACUGGUACUGAGACACGGACCAGACUCCUACGGGAGGCAGCAGUGAGGAAUAUUGGUCAAUGGACGCAAGCCUGAACCAGCCACGUCGCGUGAAGGAAGACGGCCCUACGGGUUGUAAACUUCUUUUGUAAGGGAAUAAAGUGCAGUACGUGUACUGUUUUGCAUGUACCUUACGAAUAAGGAUCGGCUAACUCCGUGCCAGCAGCCGCGGUAAUACGGAGGAUCCAAGCGUUAUCCGGAUUUAUUGGGUUUAAAGGGUGCGCACGCGGAAAAUUAAGUCGGCGGUGAAAUUUUGCAGCUCAACUGUAAAAGUGCCUUCCAAACUGGUUUUCUUGAGUGUGGAUGAAGUAGGCGGAAUUUGUGGUGUAGCGGUGAAAUGCAUACAUAUCAAGAGGUACUCCAAUUGAUAACGCGCCUUACUCCCCCAU
rnacentral:rRNA from 1 species